AAAUCACUUACGAAGAAAGCUAAUGAAAGACACAAACAAGGUGUUGGUGGUCCGACCUUUUUCAAGACCAAGAUUCAAGACUCUUUUUGUUCUAGCCUAACCUAAUAAACUUAGUUUACCCCAUGGCCGGGUUCACCCUGUUCUUUUCACCUUUUCUAGUCAUGAUCAUCUUGAGGGUUGCAUAAAAUAAAUCUUAGUCCAAAUAGAGUGACAUGUUCAAAUAAGCACUUAUGUUUAUGUAGUCUCUUCCUCUCACAACGCCAAUCUCCACUGUAGUACAUAGAACGGGGACGGAGCUCCCGCCAGCAUCAGCUGGCUCGUAUCUCGACGUUCCUUCAUCCAGGCCAGUAGCAUGAAGACAUAUUGCAACUUCGCAUUAGGAAGUGGAUUAUAAAUCAAAGCAUCGGAGAUUUCUUGGAUUAUGUCUCUUGACAUAAACUUGAACUCAAGGCGUCGUGUCUGAUAUCAUGGACAAAAGCGUUGAUCAGCUCAAAUUAUGAAGUCACCCAGGCUCUUGAGCAACAUGAAGGACAACAUCAAGCACAAGACAUUAUUCAAUUUCCCAUGGGACAACCAAACGUCCCUCCACGAAAAAAUUCGUCCUCUUCGACACAGAUGAAACCGUCACAAAUGUCAAACCCGAAAUUGAUUCCUCUAUAGAUUAUCGGAGCAAUUGCCCUCUCUCCUGUGCAUGUUGCACUAUCUAAAGCCGGACAAGUCGACCAUCAAACCAAUCCUAAGACGGAUCUCGGAAUACAUCAAUCUGCGGAUCCCCUCAUUGGCUUUCAUAGCAGGGGUGCUAGAUCGAUCCAUCCAUCCAGACUUGGAUGACGCCAACAAGCAAACAGUGACGACGUGAACCCGAGUCUGAGUCUCCAAUGAAGCGACCGAUCCCACAAAUUGCGACGAAAACAAAGAUUGUCGCCAUCGAACCAACGAACAAGCUUCUUCCCUCACUUUGUGACAGAGCGAGGCUUCAGACCUGCUUCCCGUGACACUAGUAAUUGUCAAAGGGUGUCUCUGUCUUUCUCUCCCUGUCCUCUGGUGCAGAUCAUUUUGAUUCCCAUCGCAAGAUCGAACCGGAAAAUGAUCAUGGUCCAAUCUGUGAUGCACCCACAUGUUCUGAUCUUGACGAUGUUAAUCGCCAUAGUUGCAGCUCAAUGUGUGGGCAAAAUCAAACGAGGAGACGCUUGCCGUGAAACCUCGGAAUGUCGACGAAACCUGGUGUGCAACAAUUGGACGAACGGCUCGAAACUUUGUCAACCAGCCAAAUGCUCGGUGGAAGGCGAGAGGUGUGGCUGGUACAGAGGAAGUUGUUGCCAAAAUGACCCUACCACCUAUUGUUAUAAGAAGACUUGCGAUCAAAGCCGGUGUACAAGGCUGCAAAAUAUUCCUGAACAAGACAGAGAUAAAGUACAAGCAGGUGGUGUUUGACCGUGGCUUGAUACCCUAUGGAGUUGAUUGAUUCCUUGACGUCCACAAUUCAGAAUACAUAUGCAUAACAUUCACUUGCA